rnacentral:miRNA from 1 species
GACAUCGAUAUUCGACGUCAUAAACACGAUCAACUUUGAUGUUCAUGACAUCGAUAUUCGACGUCAUAAACACGAUCAACUUUGGUGUUUAUAACGUCGAUAUUCGACGUCAUAAACAUGAUCAACUUUGGUGUUUAUGAUGUCGAUAUUCGAAGACAUAAACACGACCAACUUUUGUGUUUAUGACGUCGAUAUUCGACGUCAUAAACAGGAUCAAUUUUGGUGCUUAUGACGGCGAUAUUCGAAGUGUUAAACACGAUCAACUUUGGUGUUUAUGACGUCGAUUUUCGAAGUG